UGGGGAAUAUUGCACAAUGGAGGGAACUCUGAUGCAGCGACGCCGCGUGAACGAAGAAGGCUUUCGAGUCGUAAAGUUCUUUUAUAUGGGAAGAUAAUGACGGUACCAUAAGAAAAAGCCCCGGCUAACUACGUGCCAGCAGCCGCGGUAAUACGUAGGGGGCUAGCGUUGUCCGGAAUCACUGGGCGUAAAGGGUUCGCAGGCGGAAAUGCAAGUCAGGUGUAAAAGGCAGUAGCUUAACUACUGUAAGCAUUUGAAACUGCAUAUCUUGGGAAGAGUAGAGGUAAGUGGAAUUUUUAGUGUAGCGGUGAAAUGCGUAGAUAUUAAAAAGAAUACCGGUGGCGAAGGCGACUUACUGGGCUCAUUCUGACGCUGAGGAACGAAAGCGUGGGUAGCAAACAGG
rnacentral:rRNA from 3 species